UACUACAAGCGCUAGCUUAAAACCCAAAGGACUUGGCGGUAUUCCACACCCACCUAGAGGAGCCUGUUCUAUAACCGAUAAUCCCCGUUCAACCUCACCACUUCUUGCCAUUACCGUCUAUAUACCGCCGUCGUCAGCCCACCCUGUGAAGGACCAAAAGUAAGCAAAAAGAAUAAAACUCCAAAACGUCAGGUCGAGGUGUAGCAAAUGAAGUGGGAAGAAAUGGGCUACAUUUUUUCCCAAAAAUAUACGAAUGAUAAACUGAAAACAUACCUAAAGGUGGAUUUAGCAGUAAGAGAAGAUCAGAAUACUUCUCUGAAAUCGGCUCUGGGAUAAGCACACACCGCCCGUCACUCUCCUCAAAAAUAACUCACCAUUUCCAUAAAUACAUUCCUUCAACAAGAGGAGGCAAGUCGUAACAUGGUAAGUGUACUGGAAAGUGCACUUGGAAUCAAAA
rnacentral:rRNA from 1 species